UUUACAAAUGAGAAAAAGGAAAACUACUGGGGGCCUGCAGCAGGAAAACCACUUUAAUCCAGGCAUUCCAGACCAUCCUGGCGACAUAGCAAGACCGCAUCUCAAAACAAGUGGGCCAUCCUGUAGCAAGCCCAGAAUCGAUUCCAAGCAGUGUGACGACGUUUGCUUUCUGAACUCUGCCAGCCAGCGACCUCCCUGCGCAUAUAAAGCCUCAGGACACACAGGU
rnacentral:lncRNA from 1 species